rfam:Sorghum bicolor cultivar BTx623 chromosome 2, whole genome shotgun sequence.
GUAGUUGGUUUCACAUCAAUCCACAUGUGUUGGUGUGGGUUGGAGUGGAACUUGAACUAAAUUCCAUCUUAAUCCACUCCAACACAUGUGGAUCGAGGUGAAUUCGACA